rnacentral:rRNA from 1 species
GAUGAACGCUGGCGGCGUGCCUAAUACAUGCAAGUCGAGCGAACAGACGAGGAGCUUGCUCCUCUGACGUUAGCGGCGGACGGGUGAGUAACACGUGGAUAACCUACCUAUAAGACUGGGAUAACUUCGGGAAACCGGAGCUAAUACCGGAUAAUAUAUUGAACCGCGUGGUUCAAUAGUGAAAGACGGUUGUGCGGUCUCUUCUAGAUGGAUCCGCGCCUCAUUAGCUAGUAGUGAAGUUAACGGGUUACGAAGGCAACGAUGCGUAGCCGACGUGACGGGCGGGUCGCCGACCUGAGAGCGGAGCCGCGGUCCAGAGUACUACGGGACGCAGCAGUAUGGAAUCGUACGCAGUGGGCGAAAGCCUGACGCAGCAACGCCGCGUCAGUGAUGAAGGUCUUCGGAUCGUAAAACCCUGUUAUUAGGGAAAAACAAAUGUGUCCGUAACUAUGCACGUCUUGACGGUAACUAGUCAGGAAGCCACGGCUAACUACGUG